ensembl:lncRNA
UCUGAAAGGAAAUUGCAGCUUGCCCUUUCUUACUGGGAAGUCAUCACCCAGUCCAGUUUCACCAAAUUAGGCUGCUGACUACAGGACUGCAAGUCUCAUCAAGUACUUCUGUUACCUGAGAGAAACACUGCUUGCCACUUCUUGAUGGGAAGUCCUCUGACAGUACUGUUUUCACUGAAUAGGGUUUGCAGGAACUGUUUAGCUUCUAAGACGUGAGACCUCCAGCCUUGCCCAGGGGACCGAACUUCCUUAGUCAGGGCAGUGUGUCUCCCUGCAUUUUCUGAGCCUUGCAAACAUAUUCCUAGGCCACUCCAUGACUGCACAUGAGGAAGCGGGCUGCGGGAGUAUGUCUGAGAGUGCUGGAUGCCAUACUUUGGCCUCCUAGUCAAGAUGACAUUCCACUGUAAAUGGAUCCACAGUGAGGAGUUGCAAUCAGCCCGCUUGCUUCAGAGAUGCUGAAUGGUGGAGCGCACCUAGUGCUGUCAGAAGUGAGAAAACAGCAGUUGGAUGGGAUUUCAAGCAGUUGCUUGGCCGCCCCGCUUUAGGGCCCACUGAGAGUAAAAUGCAAAUUUUGCCAUCAAAACCCGAUAUACAGGUUAACACACAUGGUGUGUCCACACAGUUUCCGAAUUUCCAGACAGACCUAGGCUCACUGGAUCUCUCCUCCAGAGAAAACGUGAUGGAACAGACGUUUGGAUGUCGAUUUGCCUUUCCCUGUGAGUGUGGGGACCCUCUGUAUGCUCUCAGGCUCAGGGGAAAUUGCACGUGAAAAAUGACCUCCAAGCAAGCGCUUUCCAGCAGUAUGUAUCACUCAGCACACAGUAUGCUGGAAAUGCUAUCUUCCUUCGAGGAAGGAAAGGCAUCAACAGAGAGUGUGUUUUCAGGCCUCUGUCUUGCAAGAACUGUUUAACUUCUAAGACAUGAGAUCUCGUCUUGUUCAGAGGACCUUGUCCAGAGGAGCUAACUCUGGACUCCAAAGGAGUCAGGGCAGUGUGUCUCCCUGCAUUUUCAGAGCCUUGCAAACUUAUUCCUAGGCCACACCAUGACUGCCUAUGAGGAAGCAGGCUACGGGAAUGUUUCUGAGAGUACACGGUGCCACAGAGUCGAAGUGAUAUUCCACGGCAAAUGGGCCUGCAGCAAGGAGUUGAGAGCCGCCCGCUUGCUUCAGAAAUCACAAAGGUUGGAGUAAAGUAAGUGCUAUCAGAAGUGAGAAAACAGCAACUGGAUGCACUUUCAAGCAGUUGCUAGGCUGCACCACUUUUAGGCCCACUGAGAGAAAAAUGUGAAAUUUGCCAUCAAGGUCCAAUAUCCAGGUUGACACUCAUGGUGUGUCCCCGCAGUUAUCAAAAAUUUUGAGACAGACCUAGGGUUACUAGAUCUCUCACACAGAGAAAAUGUGACUUAAUUGUCGUUUGGAUAUUGGUUAGCCUUUGCCUGUGAGUGUGGGGACAUUCUCUACUGGCACAGACUCGAGGGAAAUGGGGAGUGAAUAACAACCUCCAAGCAAGCACUUUCCAGCGGUAUGUUGCGCUCAGCACACAUUAGGCUGGAAAAGCUAUCUUCCUUCCAGGAAGACAAGACAUCAAAAGAGAGUCUGCUUUCAGGCCUUUAUCUUGCAGUAACAGUUUAGCUUUAAGAAUGAGAGACCCCUAGUCUUGCCCAGAGGAACUAACUUCUGGAAUCAGGGCCGUGUGUUUCCCUGCACUUUCUGAGCCUUGUCAACCUAUUCCUAGGCCACACCAUGACUACCUAUGAGGAAGCAGGCUGUGGGAAUGUGUCUGAGAGUACAGGGUGCCACAGUGUGGUCACCUUGUCAAGGUGACAUUCCACUGCAAAAGGGCCCAUGGCAAGGAGUUGCGAGCCACUCACUUGGUUCAGAAAUUCUGAAGAUGGAGUAAAGCUAGCACUGUCAGAUGUGAGAAAACAGCCAUGGAUUUUCAAGCAGUUUCUAGGCUGCAUUUUAGGCCCACCAAGAGAAAAAUGCAAAUUUUGCCAUCAAGGUUCGAUGUCCAGGUUGACACUCAUGGUGUAUCCCCACAUUUUCCAAGAAAUUUCCACACAGACCUAGGCUCAUUAGAUUUCUCCUACAGAGAUGGAAACAGUGAUGGAACAGACGUUUGGAUGUUGGUUUGCCUUUCCCUGUGAGUGUUGGGACCUUCCCUAUGGUCUCAGGCUCAGGAAAUUUCAAGACAAAAAUGACCUCCAAGCAAGCGUUUUCCAGCAUGUGUGUCACUCAGCACACAGUAUGCUGGGAAAGCUGUCUUCUUUCGAGGCAGUUAAGGCAUCAACAGAGAGAGUGUUUUCAGGCCUCUAUCUAACAGGAACUGUUUAGCUUCUAAGACCUCCAGGCUUGCCCAGAGGAUCUAACUUCCAGAGUCAGGUAAGAGGAUCUCUCUGCACAUUCUGAGCCUUGCAAACAUGUUCCUAGGCCACACCACAACUGCAUAUGAGGAAGCAAGCUGCAGGAGUGUGUCAGAGUACUGGGUGCCAUACUGUGGUACAUAGUUGAGGUGACAUUCUACUGCAGAUGAGCCCGCGGUGAGGAGUUGCGAGCCGCCCACUUGGUUCAGAAAUGCCAAAGGGUGGAGCAAAUUUAGGGCUGUCACAACUGAGAACACAGCAAUUGGAUGCAUUUUCAAGCAGUUGUGAGGCCACCCUGCUUUAGGGCCCACCAUGAGAAAAAUGUGAAUUUUGCCACCAAGUUCCAGUAUCCUGGUUCACACUCAUGGUGUAUCCCCAUGUUUCCAAGAAAUUUCCAGACAGACAUAGGGUCACUGGAUCUCUCCUCCAGAGAAAACAUAAUGGAACAGACGUUGGGAUGUUGGUUUACCUUUCCCUGUGAGUGGGGGGACCUUCACUACGGUCUCAUCCUCAGGGAGAAGUGCAAGUGAAAAAAGACCUCCAAGCAAGCGCUUUCCAGCAGUAUGUGUCACUCAGCUCACAAUGUACUGGAAAAGAUAUCUUCCUUCGAGGAAGGAAAGGCAUCAAAAGAGAGUGCGUUUUUAGGCCUCUAUCUAGCAGGAACUGUUUAGCUUUCAACACAGGAGACCUUCAGACUUUCCCAGAGGACCUAACUUUCCAGUCAAGGCAGUGUGUCUCCCGGCACAUUCCGAGCCUUGUAAACACAUUUUUAGGCCACACUGCAACUGCUCAUGAGGAAGCAGGCUGCAGGAGUAUGUUUGAGAGUGGUGGUUGCCAUACUGUGUUCACCUAGUUGAGGUGACAUUCCACUGCAGAUGGGCCUGAGGUGAGAGGUUUCAAGGCUCUCAUUUCCUUCAGCAAUGCCAAUGAGUGGAGGAAAAUUAACCCAGUCAGAAGUGAGAAAAUACCAAUUGGAUGGAUUUUCAAGUAGUCGCUAGGCCGCCACGCUUUAUGGUCCACCGUGUGAAAACUGCG